AAGCCGCUCGUGUCCCUUUCCACCCUGAAAAUUUUGUUUUUUUGUUCUUUGCAAUAAGUCAUGCUGCUGCUCCCUAGGUUCACCCUGCCUUUGUGAGCUGUAACACUCACCGUGAAAGUCUGCAGCUUGACUCUUGAGCCAGUAAGACCAGGAGCCCACCAGAAGGAGGAAACUCCGAACACAUCUGAAUAUCAGAAGGAACAGAACACAUCUGAAUAUCAGAAGGAACAAACUCCGGACACGCUACCUUUAAAAACUGUAAUACUCACCGCGAGGGUCUGCGGUUUCAUUCAUGAAGUCAGUGAGACAAAGAACUCACCAAUUCCGGACACAGUGGGAGCAAAGGCAUGGCAGGAGGAGAGAACUGCGUGUGUGAGGAAUAAAAACAACAUGUUGCAAUUGAGGAAGGCGUGAAUUUAUGGGGAGAAUACAGAGAUGAAGACUUAAAACGAAUGGAAGGCCAAGGAGAUGAAAUGGAAGACUUUGGACAGAACUUCUGGGAAAGCUCUUUAAAGCAGUCUACUAGACUGGCAAGCAGACAUUCAUUCUCCUCUUCUGACUUAGACAUGGUAUUUUUAGCUCCAGCAGCCGUCCUGUGAAGAUGGGAGCACACGCUAAGGGCAGCAGAAAAGAAAGCCAGAAGGA
rnacentral:lncRNA from 1 species